GUUGAUUAGAUACCCUAGUAGUCCACGCCGUAAACGAUGGAUACUAGCUGUUCGGUUGCAAGACUGAGUGGCUAAGCGAAAGUGAUAAGUAUCCCACCUGGGGAGUACGAACGCAAGUUUGAAACUCAAAGGAAUUGACGGGGGCCCGCACAAGCGGUGGAGCAUGUGGUUUAAUUCGAUGAUACGCGAGGAACCUUACCAGGGCUUAAAUGUAGGUUGACAGGUCUGGAAACAGAUUUUUCUUCGGACAACUUACAAGGUGCUGCACGGUUGUCGUCAGCU
rnacentral:rRNA from 1 species